AGCCAUUAGCCAAACAAGUACUAAAGGUAACGCCUGCCCAGUGAGUUAACACUUAAACGGCCGCGAUUAAACGCGCGAAGGUAGCGCAAUCACUUGUUUCAUAAAUUGAGACCCGUAUGAAUGGCCACAUGAGAAAGAAACUGUCUCUUGAAGGUAACCGAUGAAACUGAUCUUCCUGUACAAAAGCAGGAAUAAUAAAGCAAGACAAAAAGACCCUGUGAAACUUAAAACAAAGCAUUAAAAUAAUAAUGCCCAACUUUUAGUUGGGGCAACUUAAGAUAUACAAAACAUCUUACUACGUCUAAACCAACAAGUUUUAACUACUAAACACAUGACCCGGCACUGCCGAUCAACGAACCAAGCUACUCCAGGGAUAACAGCGCUAAAUUCUUUAAGAGUCCAUAUCAACAAGAAUUAUUACGACCUCGAUGUUGGAUCAGGGCACCCAAACAGUGCAGAAGCUGUUAACGGUUCGUUUGUUCAACGACUAAGACCCU
rnacentral:rRNA from 1 species